UACGAAGGGGGCUAGCGUUGCUCGGAAUUACUGGGCGUAAAGGGCGCGUAGGCGGACAGUUCAGUCAGAGGUGAAAGCCCAGGGCUCAACCUUGGAAUUGCCUUUGAUACUGGCUGUCUUGAGUUCGGGAGAGGUGAGUGGAAUGCCGAGUGUAGAGGUGAAAUUCGUAGAUAUUCGGCGGAACACCAGUGGCGAAGGCGACUCACUGGCCCGAUACUGACGCUGAGGCGCGAAAGCGUGGGGAGCAAACAGG
rnacentral:rRNA from 1 species